rnacentral:rRNA from 1 species
UACGAAGGGGGCUAGCGUUGUUCGGAAUUACUGGGCGUAAAGCGCACGUAGGCGGAUUUGUAAGUCAGGGGUGAAAUCCCGGGGCUCAACCUCGGAACUGCCUUUGAUACUGCAAGUCUCGAGUCCGAUAGAGGUGAGUGGAAUUCCUAGUGUAGAGGUGAAAUUCGUAGAUAUUAGGAAGAACACCAGUGGCGAAAGCGACUUCCUGGACCAAUACUGACGCUCAUGUGCGAAAGCGUGGGGAGCAAACAGG